AGUGAACGCUGGCGGUGGGCCUAACACAUGCAAGUCGAACGGCAGCACAGUAAGAGCUUGCUCUUACGGGUGGCGAGUGGCGGACGGGUGAGGAAUACAUCGGAAUCUACUUUUUCGUGGGGGAUAACGUAGGGAAACUUACGCUAAUACCGCAUACGACCUACGGGUGAAAGCAGGGGAUCUUCGGACCUUGCGCGAUUGAAUGAGCCGAUGUCGGAUUAGCUAGUUGGCGGGGUAAAGGCCCACCAAGGCGACGAUCCGUAGCUGGUCUGAGAGGAUGAUCAGCCACACUGGAACUGAGACACGGGCCAGACUCCUACGGGAGGCAGAAGUGGGGAAUAUUGGACAAUGGGCGCAAGCCUGAUCCAGCCAUACCGCGUGGGUGAAGAAGGCCUUCGGGUUGUAAAGCCCUUUUGUUGGGAAAGAAAAGCAGCAGGUUAAUACCCCGCUGUUCUGACGGUACCCAAAGAAUAAGCACCGGCUAACUUCGU
rnacentral:rRNA from 1 species